rnacentral:rRNA from 1 species
UACGUAGGGGGCGAGCGUUGUCCGGAUUUAUUGGGCGUAAAGAGCUCGUAGGCGGUUCGAUAAGUCGGACGUGAAAUCUCCACGCUCAACGUGGAGGGGCCGUUCGAUACUGUCGUGACUCGAGUCCGGUAGGGGAGUGUGGAAUUCCCGGUGUAGCGGUGAAAUGCGUAGAGAUCGGGAGGAACACCAGAGGCGAAGGCGGCGACCUGGAUAGGCACUGACACUCAACUACGAAAGCGUGGGGAGCAAACAGG